CGCUGCUGCCUGCAUUGUGAUCUGGGAGCCUAGACUGAGCAGCUGCUGCUCCCCCGGUGGGGUCUGGGCUCGGGAGUGACUUGGAGUGAAGCUUCCUCUGUGCCCAGGCAAGGGAACCGGUUGCUAAGAUUUUAGCAGCUCAUCACUGCCCUCAGUCCCAGCCCUUCCGCUCUUGGCCCCAGCCCUUCCGGGGGCCAGAGCUGGCCACAGCGUACAGCCCGUGUUUGGGUCGCACCAUGAUGUCACGGCUGUGUGGAGUGCAUUCGGAAUGAGGCAACCCAGAGCUGCUGGGCAACCUGUCACAUAGCUCCUCUUGCUGGAUUAUUUGCAUUUUUACUGUAGGGUUUCCAGUUUCCAAACCUGAUGUGAUGUCACAUCUGGACCGAGGGGAAGAG